UACGUAGGGCGCAAGCGUUGUCCGGAAUUAUUGGGCGUAAAGCGCGUGUAGGCGGCUUUGCAAGUCGGGUGUGAAAGCCCUCAGCUCAACUGAGGAAGUGCGCCCGAAACUGCAGAGCUUGAGUGCCGGAGAGGGUGGCGGAAUUCCCCAAGUAGAGGUGAAAUUCGUAGAUAUGGGGGAGGAACACCGGUGGCGAAGGCGGCCACCUGGACGGUAACUGACGCUGAGACGCGAAAGCGUGGGGAGCAAACAGG
rnacentral:rRNA from 1 species